UAUUUUUUUUUUUUUUUUUUUAUAAUUAUUGCUUGUAUGUUGUGUUUUGUAGUUUUUUAUAUAAGAAGAAUUUUUUUUUUACGUGAGUAGUUUUAAAAUUUUAUUUUUUUUUUUUUUUUUCUUUCUUUUUGGAUAUGAAAUAACAAUAUUUUUCUUAGUUUUUUGGUUUUCUCGAAAAAAGACGAUAUAAAGUAUAAUUAUUUUUUUAUAGUGCAAAAUAUUUUUUUUUUACUUUAGUUUAUUAUAUGUUUAUCAAGUUUUUUAAUAUCUAGUGUAUAAUGAUAAGUGUAACAAGUAGUUAAUAUUUUUUGCUGUGUAAUUGAGGGUCAACUUUUUUUUUUUUAAUUUUUUUUUUUUUUAUUUUAUUUUUUAGUAGGAUUUAAAGUGUUUUUUAUUAUAUGUAAUAUUUUUUAUUUUUUUUUUUAGUUUUUUAGUUUUUUUUUACUUUUAUUUUAAAAGGUUAUUAUGAGUAAUUUUUUUUUUUUGUUUUUUUAUUUUAUAUUUAUUUUUUAAAUAUAUUUUUUAAAUAAAAAAAAGUAAUUUAAGAAUAUAUUAUUUUGUUUACUAAAUACUUUUUUUAUAGUUUUUUUUUAUAAAAAGAAAUUUUUUUAUAAAAAUAAUUUUAUUUUGUUUAAAUGACUUUUAAUUAUAUUAUGUUUUUUUCUUUUUUUUUUUAAUGAAGUUUUUUUUAUAGUGAAAUAAACUAUAGUUAUAAUAAAAGACGAAAAGACCCUUGGUGAUUUAAGUUAAUAAGAAAGUUUUUUUUUUAAAAAUUUUAACUGGGGCAGUUUUUUUUUUUAACUUUUUUUCUUUUUUUUAUAUUAUAGUUAUAUGACUUUUGAUCUUUUUUGUUUUUUUGACAAACCAACCCUAGGGAUAACAGCGCAAUUUACAAGGAAAGUUCAUAUUGAUUUGUUUUUUUACGACCUCGAUGUCGGCUUUUUUUUUUUUUUUAGAGCAGUUUUUAUCUUUUUUUGUUUGUUCACCAAAUAAUUUUAUACAUGAGCUGGGUUUAGAACGGAGUGAUUUAGUUUGGUUUUUAUCUUUUUUAAAUGAAGAACAUAGUACGAAAGGAAUAGUUUUUUUUUGUGUU
rnacentral:rRNA from 1 species